rnacentral:lncRNA from 1 species
ACACAACAGGUUUUGGGGAGGUUGAAUUGUUGUCUUGGUAAUCAAAUGCUCAAUAAAUGUAAUCGAAUAUGACCCGCACGCGACUUUGGUGUCAUUUGUUACCACGAGUUCCAAUCGACCUUCAAAUUCUCAUGGUUCAUUGAGGAACUUAUCUGACAAAUGCUUCAUUAUUCCACUUUGCUUCAACAAUUUUGGCAGCAAC